rnacentral:rRNA from 1 species
ACGAACGCUGGCGGCGUGCUUAACACAUGCAAGUCGAACGGUGAAGCGCCUUCCUUUUUGGUGGGUGUGGAUGAGUGGCGAACGGGUGAGUAACACGUGAGUAACCUGCCCCCUUCUUCUGGAUAACCGCAUGAAAGUGUGGCUAAUACGGGAUAUUCUGGGUCUGUCGCAUGAUGGGUCUGGGAAAGAUAUUGUUUCGGUGGGGGAUGGGCUCGCGGCCUAUCAGCUUGUUGGUGGGGUGAUGGCCUACCAAGGCGGUGACGGGUAGCCGGCCUGAGAGGGUGGACGGUCACACUGGGACUGAGACACGGCCCAGACUCCUACGGGAGGCAGCAGUGGGGAAUAUUGCACAAUGGGCGCAAGCCUGAUGCAGCGACGCCGCGUGAGGGAUGGAGGCCUUCGGGUUGGGAACCUCUUUCGCCAGUGAAGCAGGCCUGCCUCGUUUGUGGGUGGGUUGACGGUAGCUGGAUAAGAAGCGCCGGCUAACUACGU